rnacentral:lncRNA from 1 species
UUAUUCUAUGGCAAUGUGUUCAUUUAUUAACUGAGACUAACAAUUAAACAGUAAAACUCACCUCCAUUAUACUUUUGUCAAUGUUUUCAAAUAUUCUUUACGUCAAAAUUGGUGAAGUUAGAUACAAUUUCAAUAGUUGUUAGGGCUACUUUGGAGCAGUGAGAAGAAAGUUCAGCAAUUGGAGAAUGCUCAUUUGUUUCUAACACUAUUAUAUCGGGUUAACACUGCUGCAACACGGUUGUGCGCGCUCACUCUGACCAGUUCGCCUUCGAUAACUAGAGUAGGCAAUGUCAGUGACCUAGGAGUAGUAAUAGUUGCUUGAGGGAGUGAGCCUACGAUCAAUCGUAUUACUUCAGCAAUUCAAGGAGGCAUGAAAGAACUAAUUUACCUCUCCUCGCGGUGUUUCCACCUCGACCCUAGUGACCUGUCGCGUGCUCCGCAACGCAGUUAUUCAUAGAGUUUUUCUAUCUCCCUUUCUCCCACAUUUUCGGUCUCUCUCUCUCUAUGAACUCCAAAACCGAGCAUCGAGCAAGCUAAACUUACUCGUUGCUUUUAUCAGUCGACCGCAUCUUUCUUUAUCAUAUUUUUAUUGAAUAUCAGUACAAGAUGGAUUGAGUGAUAAAGCUUUUUUGGACGCCUGGCUUCUCUAGGCCCAGGGCGCUGCGACAACAAAGAAUUGUGCAGGGCGUUGUAGUGUGUUUAAAAUUUUCGAACUUGACAAUCGUAUUUUAGGGAUUUUAUUGUAAUUAUAUGUGACAUUUAGUGUUUCAAAUCAGACUAAUUUCUCGUUGCAAAUUCGUAGCCCAAUAGCGUGGUAAGAACUUAGUGAUGUGUGUUAUGGCUACUCCACAAAUCAAACCUGUUUCAGGCACCAUGGGUCCCGGCAGUGGUUUGCCGCGCCGAACAUCUAAUGCAAAUCAAACAACCUUCGACAAUAAGUUUCCUUCUCAGCAGCCUCCCAUGAUCAAUCGUCCCAUUAAUUUCUAGGUGAAAUCAUAGAGAUGAAUUGGCUAUUUUGGGACUUAGUACACCGAUCACGACCUUUAUCCUGAGGAUCAGCAAGCCUCUCCUUCGCCUGCGCCUUCCGUUGCAGUUGGCGCACCUCCAAUUUAAAAUCCGCAACGGUAGCAUCUUGCACAUACUUGCCGCUUGCAAUACGAACCACAGAUAUUUUAUGCUUAUCGAAUGGAGUGCCGCGGGAAGAUUAAGAUGAUAGAGCUUACUAAGUACUCGAGGUACCGUGCAAUGCAUUGAUUGCGCGUUAACUUUGGCAAAAGAUUAGCACUGACACACUUUCAUUCUAUUUGGACCGGUUAAG